rnacentral:rRNA from 1 species
GGAGAGGAGCCCAGCGCUGAAUCCAAACGGUCACAGUGAUCGUUUUGAGCUGUAGCGUAUAGGUGCAACUAUCCCAUUGUUUUGUGCACUCAAAGUCCCCUUGAGCGGGGCCACAGUCCACAGAAGGUGCUAGACCUGUACGGGUGGCGAAGCACUGGGUUGGUUGUUCCUCGGAGUCGGGUUGCCUGAGAUCGCAGCUCAAAGUGGGUGGUAAACCUCAUCUAAGGCUAAAUAUGGCCACGAGACCGAUAGCAAACAAGUACCGUGAGGGAAAGUUGAAAAGAACUCUGAGAAGAGAGUUAAACGAGGACGUGAAACCGCUGGGAUGGAAACGAAUAGAGUUGACGAAACCUGCCGUCAUUCAACCGAUCAACUCUGCGGUCUUUCGUCUCAUUGUACCGCCGCUUUGCAGUGUGCACUCUCUCGGGUGCAUGCUGUAGGGCGCAUUGCUGGACAAUGGCGUGAGGUGCUGUUGAGUAGCACUUUUGUGUGUGUGUGCUGUGUGAUCGGUGCAUUUGAUGGUGGUAUGCGCCGAGAGCCGCGUUGUUGUGCGACAAAGCAUCUGUAGUGGACCGUAUGGUUCCCAUGCGGAAACCUGCGAAUGUGGAGGCGUAUCAUCGAUGCGGUACAAAUUGUAUUCGUAAACUUCCACCGUUCAUUCAUCGCAUACAUAUACUGCCACCUACCUCCUCCCUUACGGGAUGAUGGUUGUCGGGUGCUGUGUGUGUCACUGUGGUGUUAUUGGUACGGUGCGCUGCUGUUAACCAGGUGGGUCUAUACGUGCUGUGAUCGCUUGCGUAUCACGUACGGUUUGUGUGUGAUCAGUCUGGAUAGCAGAUGAGCAAAAAAAAAAAGUUUAAAUAAGCGC